rnacentral:tmRNA from 3 species
GGGGAUGAUUUGGUUUCGACAGCGUGAUACUGGUGAAGUUUCGCUUCUGUUCGGGAGGGCAACGGUUCCCGCACCCACUGUUGCAAACAAUAUCUGCCACUGCAGAUGUACCGGCGGUCUUUAAGAAGGCGUUCGCGAACUUCACGUUUGCGCCCGCAUUCGCACUGGCUGCCUAAGUCCGCUCUACGCGGACACGUCUCACCCUCGAUUCUCGCUACAGGGAUGAGGCGUAAUCAGCGAGGCAGCAGAGCCGUCUGAUGUCGCGGCCCUGUGGUCAAUCAGGCAUCAUCCCUCACACCCUUUCUCUGCUUCUCUCUUAGGGGUGUGAGUACGAGAGGAGCACGACAGUACAAGCAGCUGCACUACACGUUGGACCCGGGUUCGAUUCCCGGCAUCUCCACCA